CUCACCAGGAGUUCUAUAGGGCACUCUUGGUGUACUUAUGGGCAUCAUUCUAACUCCGCCCUUAUUGGUCUAUGGUUACGAGUCCUGUGACCACAUAAAUUUAUCACACAAAACAAAAACAUAGCACAAGAAAACAAUGCUCGAGCCUCAAAGUGGAAUACUAGAUGCACAAUGUGGUUGCUUGCUCUGCAAAUUCAAACAGACUGACUUAGAUUAACCCUUAACAUAUGUUACAACCAUAAAGGAAACUAAGUCAAGGUUUCAGUAGGGAAACAAUGUUUCCACAGUUCGAGAAUAUUCUAUGUAAAAGCACGUCUAUCAUGUAAUCAAAGUAUAAUUACCUGCAUUGGAGGCUCCUGUUAACCCUGGAAUAGAAUUCUGUUGUCAAAUUAGGCCUCCCAGUUCCAUACAGACCUAAUUUUUAAAAAUAUAUAUAUUAAAUUGAAAAAAAGGGAAAAGACACAGAUUUUAGAGGCAAGAGUGGGGCAAAUGAGCAGACUUGGAGAUUGAAGCUUCAAUGCUGAAAAUAACUUGGUUCCACAACUGCCAAAAGAUAAACGAUGAAUCGAUUACAGUUAAGAUACCUUAAAUUACAGCCAUUUCUACAAAAAAGUGCAUAUGCGUAUACACAUGGGGAGCAUAGCAUAUGUGUUAGGAUAGAAAGAGAGGAACCUGAGAGAAGUUUGGUUGAGGUUUGUAUUGAGAGAGCGCCAUUUUCACUCUGUUGGAUCGAAGAAGAUGAAAACUUCAGCUUUUGGAACCAACACAUUUUGAUGGCUGGAUAGGGAACGGUGGUGUGGUGCCGGUAUUAUUAUAAACCUUCAUCUUGAACUUAUGCUGGCCGUUCGAUUUAGGUAUCACAAUAGAUGAACUUUAUUAGUUAGUUUUAAUUAUUAUUUAUUCUUUUUCCUCUCUCAAAUAUAUUUAUUUAUUUAAAAUUUUAUUGUAUUUUGAAAAUUUUUUAAAGAAAAGGACUACUAAUAAGCAGAAUGCCCUGCGAUGUUCUCCAAGUACUUAUCAGUAUCCAGAACCCAAAGGCCACGGAUUAGGUGCCAAGAAAAUAACAAUAUCAUAGCAACUGUCUCCAAUUCUCAAUCUCUCAUGUUUGUAUGAUGCUUCAUUUUCCCCAACAAGUUCAUAAUUUAAACCAAUCCAAAUAAAAAUAACUCAUGAAGUAAAAUAGAAUGGCAAUGCAUAAAGAUGAGAUCAUCAAAUCUAAUUGACAUUAUGAAAGUUCAACUGGCCAUUUGAAGAACUCCACUGAAAAACACGUAUUGAGAAAAGCAACAAAAGUUCUUACAAGAGGACGCUUUGACUUCAGAAAAAAGAGCUGUUCUUUGCAUCUGACAUAUGAGAAUAACGAAAUUGCUAAAAAUACAAGUUAAAGUAAGUGCUUAUGAGAUAUAUGCAUGUCUCAAUAACUCCUCCAUGAUAUAAAGAAAAGGAAAGAAAACUGAAUCAAUUCGGCUUCUCAUAGGAAUUCUGAUCUCUGAAGUCGGAAAUAGCACUUCGUAUCAUUUCAGAAACAUGGGGUUGUACAAAGAGAUGAGUGCUAUCAAUAACAUGAAUAAUGAACUUCUGCGAUGCAGGUAAAGAAGCAUUCAAAUUGAUAAUGAAUUGCGCCAUGGGUAUGUCACUACAAUAUAAACAAAAACAGGUUCCUUCAGUAACGAAGUGAAGCCACUUGUUUGUUGGUUCACAAGCAACUGUUGCCCUCAAUCUAUUGAAUCAACAACAAUUAGAUACUCACUAGGGAAUGAAUUGCUAGCAAGGAAAUUUAUCAGGCUUAGUAAGGUCAGAAUAUUCUUUUACCAGGAUAUGAACAAUCCUUUAGUAGCAUUGACCAUCUUGUAUCAGCAAUCUUAAGAGUUUGAAGCACUGCAAAAACCUAUUCCACCAGAAAGAAAGCAGAACACUUGCUACCAUGAUCCAAACAAGCAAGAAAAUAAUUUAUAUUCUAAUUAACUAAAUUAUGAUAAAAUCAUUGUUCUACAAAUAUAUUUAUAUCAAUGACGUAUGAUUGGGAUUCAAUAGUUGAAAACAAUCUCCAUGCUUUCAGAUUGAGGAGGCUACUCUGAACAAAAGCAACUACCAUAAACCAGAAAGCUCCCCUACAAAGGUUUCUUUACCAUUGAGGGCAGAAAAGAAUCAAUACAUCUGUUAAAUGACAAGGAGCGUACAAUUUCAUUACCAUCAAGGAAAAUUCCAGUUAAUAUUGAACAUAUGGGCAAUAAGGUGCUGCUAUAAUAAAUGAUAAAGGGUAUGAUUCAAAGAUAAGAUAUCAACUACUAACAAGAGAACCUAGAGAAGAAGCCAUUAGAUUGGAAUCCACUGGACCCAUUUCCAGUUGAGCACAAAAGGAUCAGAGAAUAUUGCAAUACACAGUAGGAUGGCAAAGGGUAGGAAACCCACAAAUUGGAUGUAUCAAACCCGAACCUAAUUAAGAUUAACCCUUGGCUAUCCAUACUUGUCCCAGACCUAAUUACUACUAUCCUCACAUUACCCAAACACAUCCGAGCCCAUUGAUUUUUGUUGGCUGAAAAUUCAGUAGAAGGGUGUAAACAGGUCAGAUAUAUGAACCCAGAUCCGGAAAAGUGAAUCAAAACUUGAAAUACAUGCAGGUUAUCUAGACAUUAAAACAAAGAAAAUGAUCCAUAUAACACAUAAAUAAAUUCUGUCUUCCAUAAUAAAUAAUAAUAGCAUUUCAUAAUUAUGAUAACAUAAAAAUAUAAGACACAAAACACUAUAAUAGAUGAACAGAAAAUUAAACAAGAUAACCAAAUCUAAUAUGCUGCCUGUUCAAUGAAACGUAAAAUAAUGAACUGAUAAUGUUAACCAUAAUAUGCUGCCUCUUCUCCUGCUGCUUUCGGACAACAAAUUCAAGAACAAACAUUUUGUAAUGGUAAAGAGGACGGAUUUAACAGGCAGAAUCGACAAAUUCAACAAAUUCAAACAUCUGCUACAAUUUUCAUUGACUAACAAUUUCAAUUUCCUCGAUAUAACAAGCAAAAUCGACAUUAAAAGGGAGGAAUUUGAGAAAUGAAAAACUCACCUCACAGGUCAAACCUGGUACACAGUUUCAGUCCGCAAUGUUGGAUUUUCGUUGAAGGGAAUGGUAGAGAGGAGCAGCAGUAGCUAGAAAGGAUGGAGCAGGACGGAGCAACCAAGAAUCGAUUCUGCUAUUCCGGACGAAGCAGCAGCUGGGCAUGCGGCAAGAAUGAGGGGCGGAGGCGAGAAGAAUGGAGUUAGUGGCUUGAAGGAGGUUACGAUGCCGUCAAGGGCACAAGGCCGAGGG
rnacentral:misc_RNA from 1 species